UUACGGCCAUAUCAGAUUGAAACGCCGGUUCUCAUACGAUCACCGAAUUUAAGCGACGUCGAGAAUGGUCAGUAGCUAGAUGGGUGAUCGCUUCGGAAGGCCCGGGUGAUGUA
rnacentral:rRNA from 1 species